rnacentral:tRNA from 1 species
GUUUCAAUAAUUUAAAUUUAAAAUAAUGGUCUUGUAAAUCAUAAAUGAGGUAUCUCUUGAAGCU